rnacentral:rRNA from 1 species
CCUACGGGAGGCAGCAGUGAGGAAUAUUGGUCAAUGGACGAGAGUCUGAACCAGCCAAGUAGCGUGAAGGAUGACUGCCCUAUGGGUUGUAAACUUCUUUUAUAAAGGAAUAAAGUGAGGCCCGUGUGCCUUUUUGUAUGUACUUUAUGAAUAAGGAUCGGGUAACUCCGUGCCAGCAGCCGCGGUAAUACGGAGGAUCCGAGCGUUAUCCGGAUUUAUUGGGUUUAAAGGGAGCGUAGAUGGGUUGUUAAGUCAGUUGUGAAAGAUUGCGGCUCAACCGUAAAAUUGCAGUUGAUACUGGCAGUCUUGAGUACAGUUGAGGUAGGCGGAAUGCGUGGUGUAGCGGUGAAAUGCUUAGAUAUCACGAAGAACUCCGAUUGCGAAGGCAGCUUACUAAACUGCCACUGACAUUGAUGCUCGAAAGUGUGGGUAUCAAACAGGAUUAGAUACCCGGGUAGUC